CCUUUGCUCUAGCCUUCAGGAGAUGGUCAGAAACCUUGGAAAGAACAAGUCUAUGAGGAGGUGGUGGGAGCAGAAGCCAAACUGCAGGGGACUGACAAAGAGAGAGGGAGAUGGUGUCCCCAGAGGGUUCAUAGACACCACCAGGCGGGUCAAGGUCCGGGGGCUCCUGAGCAGUGGAGGAGACAUUUGAGGAGGGCCUUGGAAGAUGGACAGGACUGUGACAGUGGAAGGAAGGUCAUGGUUUCCCUGCCCAAGAACAGCAAGAAAAAUGAUGCAGAGGCUGGGGCAUCAGCCUGGCUUGCCCAAGCAAGGCAGGGUCUUCCCUCCUGAUCAUGAGGACCUUUUCUUGUGGCCAAGAAAAAUAUCUGAGUGAAAUAACCAAAAUAAUGAUGGUGUGCAAAAUAUUCUUAUUUCAAAUGAGAUACUCCAUGGAAAGUGCACAUUUUAAAGUGUUAUAUAAAUAUGAGCUGCUACUACUACCACCACCACCACCACUACUACUACUACCAUCAUUCCUCCCCAGUUGUUCUCACUCCUCAGGUUGGAGGAAGAAGGAAUUUCAGUCUCUAUCCUCUAGAUAAAGGCCAUUGCCUAUCUUCUGAUGUUGGAGGCUUCUGUAUCGUUUGCAUUUAUUUUGUUGCAGUCAUCACUGUGCAUUUUGUCCUCUCUCUUCUUUGCUCCAUAUCAGUUCAUACAAGUCUUCCCAUGUCUUUUCUCAUGUUUGUUCAGUCAUUCCACAUUGAUGCGUACCCUCCCUACUGACAGGGUUUUACUACCACAAAUAACUGUUUAAAAACUACCACCACAGAAUUCCAUGUUUUCUAGAAUGGUUGGACUGGUUCGAUGUCAACGAGCAGUGCAUAUGUAGUAUCUGCCUUUCCACAAAUGGACCCUGGCCCUUCAACGUCGAGAUUGUUUCUCUAUUUUAUCACGUCUGCUGUUUCCUGAGAAGGUCAAGUGAAACCUCAGAAUUGUUUUAAUUUUCAUCUCCUAUUUAGUGGUUUGAGAGAUUUGUUCCAUAUGGCUUCGAAGAUUCUUUUUUUGAAAACUCUCUGUUCAUGACUUUUGAUUAUUUAUCUCUUGGGAAUGACUCAGUCUUACCAUAUAUAUUUAUGUUGAAUCCUUGGAUACCUUAGACAGUGGAGAUGUUUUAUGCCAAUAUUAUCUCUCCCACUUGACCAUUUUUCUUCUAGUUGCACUGAUUUUAUUCGUACAAAGCUUUUAAAUUUUAUGUGAUAAAGUAUAUAUCUUUGUUACAACUGAGAUCACAUCCAUUUGGAAUGUACAGUGGUAUGUGGUGUAAUAAUAUGCUUGUCUACCCACAAACUGCUUUUUCACAG